rnacentral:lncRNA from 1 species
UACGAGGAUCACUUUCUUUUGGUCUAUUACCAUUUCUUGUUCCAUCUGUAUGUGCUGGUCUGCUGUGACCCAAACUGCGAUUACUUGCAGUGCCAGACCCAUUAGUAAGCAAUGGGUUGUUUGACUCAUUUGAUUCCAGAUCCAAGGUAUUUGUUUGACCAUUCACUCGAUCAAUAGAAACAAUUGAAACAUCAUUAGGUAUUGAAGGGGGAAUAAGUGGAUUGAAGGGCGGAGAUUUGGUGCUUCUGGUAGAACCCACAGGAAGUCUUUCAGCCAUUUCCUUCAGCUGCACAAUAGAAAACAUCAUCAAGCUCCUAUGAAUUAUUUUUUAGUCAGACAUGACCAUUUAUAUCAAUGAGAACUUCAAAGAUUAUUUCAGAAGAGUUCAAGAACUGGACUUUCAUCCACAUCUGGCAGGAUUAUACAACUAAAAGAAACUUUGUGAACGAGAUUCCCAAAGCUAUUGAAGGAACAAGAAAAAGCCAAUUAAUUAGCUCCAGCACUAGACAGCAAACAAAUAUCUUAACAGUGAUGGGCAACAUCAAGAAUCUCUACAAGGUAAGAAUAUUUCUACUAGCAGUUGAUUCUUCCAGGUAGUUCAACAUCAUAAAAGUGUGAGGGCCGAAAUUAAAAAGGAAGAAUGUAAAAAAAGUGAAGUACUAGCUAAGGUGUUCUUGGAUAUGUGGGCUUCAGAUAUGUGAAAGCAAAUAUAUAUAUAUAUAUAUAUAUAUAUAUAUAUAUAUAUAUAUAUAUAUAUAAGGAUUUUGAAGCAUAUUUGGUCAAGAGAUAUUCGGAUAAUUCGGACGAAUCUCAGAAUUUUGAGAAGGGUCAUCAGAAUUUUGGGAAGAAAAAAUUAAAUUUUGCGAAACAGAAUUUGAUCCAUAGGGGAUCAAACCAUUUUUAAAAUCCACACAUGAUAAAUAUAAGUGAUGAGGAGUAAACUCUGCAUCAAUGUUGUGCAAUUAACAUGACUGAAAUAUUUCUUUUAUAUUAUUAUCAUUGACACAAUUAUUAUUAUUAUUUCAAAUAUUUUGUGCAGCGCUGACUUGACAGGGCUGACCUUAUCAAUCGGAAAUUAUCUUGGCAGCUCAACGACUCAGCUCCAAGCUCAAGACUCAUGUAAUAAAGGCUUAGGCCAAUUAUUUAAAUUAAUGGGCCUUAGAGGAGAAAUGGGCAAAGCUCACUUAAUAGCAUAUAAAUAGGGUUAUUUCAUUUUUACUCACAAGUUAGAAAAGUUAGUCAUUCUUCCAUUUCUCAAUUCAUUUUCUCACCAUGUAAAAUGUAAACACUCUCCAAAAAUAUAGUGAAACACCCAAAACUCCACCCGUGGAUGUAGAUCUUAUGAUCAAACCACGUAAAUUCUUGUGUCGUUUAUCGUUUUAUAGUUAGGUGUUGAUUUUGAAUUCAUCAACUGGCGCCGUCUGUGGAAAAAUAGAGCUAAGGCGUGAGAUUAAUCAGUUUUUCGGUUACUGUUCAUCGAAAAAGAAAAUCAUUUUCUAGCGAUUUCUUUUUCAGUUUCCGGCGACAGGGGCCGAUCCAUCUCAAUCUCAGUUUUCUCUCCAAAAAUGGUCGUGCUCUCUCCUGCAUCCAUCGAUCUAUCAUUAUUAACCAAUUUUAAUAUUCUUCUUAAUUCUCGUGUCCAAAAAUUUUGGAACAAUAAUAAUGAAACAGAUAAAGUACUUUUUUAUUAAAAAAUAUUCGAUAUGAAUUUCUUAUACGGGCUAAAAUAAUAUUCUCUCCCAAAAGAACAUUGUUUCGCCAUGUGCUUCUUAAAAACAAUAAAAUUUAGUUUACGUUAAUUUAAUUUUAUCUUUUAUAUUUUUGUUAGAUGUCAUUUUUGUGCAUUUAUUUAUAUAUUUAUUUUUAUUAUAAUAUAUCUAUAUAUUAUAUGAAAAUACAAUUUAACAGUAACUUUUUUCCAUCAGAUUCUCUUUUUUGUACUUUUUUUUUUCUUUCUAUUUUGUUGAUUUAAUGCUAAAAAGCAUCAAAUUCAAUUCAUGAAAAAAAUAUUCAGUAUGUAUAUUAAACUUAAGUUCAUGAUAAAAUCUUUAAUUUAAUGUAAACAUUAUAAAAAUUAAAUUUAAAACGAAUAAGUUAUGAUCGUUUAAAAUUAAAAAAUUAUUUUUUCUAUCUCACCAACUCGAAUAGUCAAGCAUUAGUUUACAAUACCCUAAGUCGAGCGAACAUUAUUGCAUGUUGCUCGACCUCAAAUGCUCUAACUGUGAGUCAAUCGAGCAUUAGUGUGAAAUAUACUAAUGUGUGACCUCAAUUGCUCGAAAUUAAAUGAGUCGAGUGAGCAUUGAUGUAAAAUACAUAAAUACUCGAAUUCAAAUGCACAAUCGUGCUUCUAUGUUUUGAGUGAUGAAGAACGCGCUUUAGAUCUUGAAAUGCCGCCACCACAGUCAUUCCACCACCACCACCACCUGCUUUCUACGUCGAGGGAGGGUAGAUUCAACUGCAAGAGAGAGAAUGACAGAGAUGGCAGUGGAUCUACGGCGUGGGCGUGAGGUGGUGAUGGAACUACAACAUGCAUUGUCUAAGGAACGGCGAGAGAGAUUUGUAGUGGCUGAUCUAAUUUGCAGAGAGAGAGAGGAGGGGGGUAUGGCUAGGUAGGUUUAUUUUUUUUUUUUUGUUAUUGUUAUUUAUUUAUUUUAUUUUCAAUUUUAUUAAGCAUGCUAAAUUAAAAAAAUAUUUGUAUUGAUGGGUAUAGUUUCUUCUUUUUUUUUUUUUAUCAUCUACCAUCAAUCCUUUUAUUUAUUAUCAUGAGUGAAACAUAAUAUAAUAAGGUAUCUAGAUUUCGACAAAUGCUGUGACGCAAAUUAACAAAGUAACACAUGAUGAAAAUACAAAUUAAAGAAACAAUGUAAGCAAGUUAGAUAAAAAAGAAAAGAAAAAGCAGUAGAGAAUGAAUUUGGUUUAUAGAAUAUACAUGGAAGGUGCUCACAACUAGAGCCACCACCCCACCCUAUGAAGAAUUUACAUUUCUCACCCUCAAACGUCAAACCCCACGCAACGCUCUUCUGGGGAAAAAAAAUGAUAAACCACUGUCAACCAUCAACAAGAAUAUUAGAAGAGGUUAAACAACCCAAAAAAACAUUAGAAACCUUUCCUCCCCAACCCUCCAACCAUCACUAAUAACUCUUCAGAGACGUGAGGGGAGAACCGACACCCCCCCCCCCCCCAAAAAAACGAAAAAAGAAAAAAAUCAUAUACAUACACAACGUGCACUGUUAAUGUCCCAAGUCCUCACUAGCUAUGCCAACACUUGACUUGUCAACCAUCCGCACAUUGUAUUGUUCGUAUACUCUUGCCCGGUUCUCUGCCCACCAUGUUUCCGCUUGCUUCUCACUAAAUCGCUUCCGACUGCAUUCAAGCAUUUCACAGCAAAAUCAGGAGGAAUCCUCCAUGCUUUACAUUUUCAACAUUUUAGCCUAAACUAAUCGUCUCACCUCUUCAAAUGAUAGACCAGGGCAUACUUUAUAGUUACUAGUAUGCCAAAAAAGAAAAGAGAUGAAAAAAACUGCUAUAUAUUCUAAACCAUGGUUCAAUAACAUGAAAAAAAAAUAAAAAGGUGUUUUCGCUAUGGAAUGGACCGAAUGGUUAUGUAGUUAUACCAGACAUAUUAGGAAAAUUAAACAUUAAAUUGGAAGGUAUUACAUUAGAAAAAACAUAGGCUAAAGCUGAAUGCAACAUACCUGAAACGAACUCGCUUCAGAUCUUUGAGUCCUCCAGGUAGCGAGGUAAGAGUGAUAUAAACACCAGGCUCAUCUUGCUCAACCCACUCAUUUUCACUACGAGGAUCACUUUCUUUUGGUCUAUUACCAUUUCUUGUUCCAUCUGUAUGUGCUGGUCUGCUGUGACCCAAACUGCGAUUACUUGCAGUGCCAGACCCAUUAGUAAGCAAUGGGUUGUUUGACUCAUUUGAUUCCAGAUCCAAGGUAUUUGUUUGACCAUUCACUCGAUCAAUAGAAACAAUUGAAACAUCAUUAGGUAUUGAAGGGGGAAUAAGUGGAUUGAAGGGCGGAGAUUUGGUGCUUCUGGUAGAACCCACAGGAAGUCUUUCAGCCAUUUCCUUCAGCUGCACAAUAGAAAACAUCAUCAAG